rnacentral:misc_RNA from 1 species
GAGAAAGGCAAGCCUCAUGAAUGUCCAGUUUGCUCGCAGUACUUUGUGCUGGAAGUAGUGGGCCCUGGAGGACCUCCUGAUGGGCAUGGAGACGAUGAAGAUCAUCACUAAUUACAGCAUUUUUCAGUUUUCCUCUUGGAAUAAAAUUCAGGAAGAUGAUGAGACAAUUUCCAGGAUACGAUGAAGCAUUGAAGUUCAGAAACUGAAUGUCUUGUUUGU